rnacentral:misc_RNA from 1 species
AGCAGCCGCGGUAAUUCCAGCUCCAAUAGCGUAUAUUAAAGUUGUUGCAGUUAAAGAGCUCGUAGUUGAAUUUCGGGAUCAUCAGGUUGGUCGUGCCUCUGGUAUGUACUGAUUUCGAUGGUCUCUCCUUCUUGAAGAGCCGUAAUGCCAUUAAUUUGGUGUUGCGAGGAAUCGGGACUGUUACUUUGAAAAAUUGAGUGUUUAAAGCAGGCAAUCGCUUGAAUACAUUAGCAUGGAAUAAUGAAAUAGGACGUUCGAUCCUAUUUUGUUGGUUUCUAGGAUUGACGUAAUGAUUAAUAGGGAUAGUUGGGGGCAUUAGUAUUCAAUUGUCAGAGGUGAAAUUCUUGGAUUU